CGGGCGACAGAGUAAGACUCUGUCUCAAAAAAAAAAAAAAGUAGGCAAAGGACUUGAACAGACAUUUCCCCAAGGAUGAUGCACUCAAUACUCAAUAAGUGCAUAAAAAUAUGUUCAAACAUCAUUAAUUAUUAGGGAAAGGCAAAUCCAACCACAGUGAGAUACCACUUCAUACCUCCUAGGGUGGCUAUACUCAGAAAAACGGAAAAUAAGAAGUGGUGGUGAGGGUGUGGGAAAGUGAGAACUCCCACGCAUUGCUGGUGGGAUUGGGAAAGGGUGCAGCCAUAAACAGUCUGGGAGUUCCUCAAAAGACUAAACAUAGAACUAGAAGCUGCCUUGAGAAAAUGAAAGGGCCUUUGACCCAGGAUGCCUCUUUUGUUUUUUUUCUUAAGGUCUACCUCUAAGACUGGAAAAAAAGUCACAGAACUUUUUCACCGGGUGGCACCACAGUCCGAUGAGUCCAUCCAUCCACAGGCCCAGGGAGAGGGAAUUUGUCUAGGGAGCAAAGGCUCCUGCGCUGGAGCUCGGGCUCUGGCUGCUGUCGCCGACUUCGGACAGAAUCCUGAGGCUACCCUUCCCAGAGCCUUCUGACCAGUCCGAGCUGCCAUGAUCGGUCUCAGAGAAGCCGGUCGCUACCCCCGGGACCAGUUCUGCGGCGCCGCCUUCCUGAGCCAAAGUUACUUUCGUGACCACCUAGGCAUUGCAGCAAUGGCCAUAAAUUCCAGAACAUGUAGCCUAAGGACACAGACUCAAGAUAAAAAACUGAAGCACAGAGAAGUUAUAUGAAUGGCUCAAGGCCACACAUCUAAGUCUAACUCCAGAGAUAACAUGUCCCACUUCCAUGCCAGCUCGAUUGCUCAGGUCACUCAGCUCUUCCACCGACGAAGCAUCCAGUGCCUCGGCCACAGCACAUCUCAGCCCUCCCGUCCUCCCUCCCUGCUUGCUGACGUGGGUCCCAUGCUCCAGCAUUUUAGUGACUCCCUUGCGGGUCAUCCUGCCUCCCCUUUUCCCCUCCCCACCACCGGCAUUCACAAGACUAAAAGGAAGGUGGUCAGGGCACCAUAGUGGCGAAAGUCUUCCUUUGCCCCUGAGCAGUUGGACGUUUUGGACCACGCAACCCAGGCAAAGACUUUCACUUUAAACUCAGGGGCACAGCUUCAUGUGGACACUCGGUUCUAUCUGUGGAUCCCACUGUGCCUCCUACUGGCCAACUGCGUUUCAUUCCUACCACUCUCCCCCAAAUAGUCUGCACCCCUCCUGCGUGUCCACUCUCCAGAUGAUGUCCUCACCUCACGGCUCAGUCGGAAACCAGAAACCAUCGGUCCUCAACCUCCUCGUCUUCCUGACACAAAACUCCACAUUGCCUAUGUGGGCCCUCGGGUUUUCUUUCUUCUGUCGGUUACAAGGAAACCUCUCCCUUCUGUCACCAAAAGAAUGAUGGACAGGUACGGUACAAUAAGACCGAAGACGUUAUUUCUUAGUCGAGAGAUUUCCCUGUCUAUGCUUCUAAUUGAAAUGGAAUCGUGUUUCUUUCUUUCUUUAAAAAUUUUGUAGUGUAAUUGGAUUCUUUGUGGGGGCUGGGAUCUGUGUAGGUAGAUCUGUUUUCUCUCUCUGGCAACUGGGCAGUUGUCAUAGACUGCAGGAUUGUGUGCAGCCAUUGGGUGUUGUGAGAAUCUGGAUACAUUGCACUAAAACUUUCUGUGGCUGUGAUUUGUUGAGUUAAAAAAAGUCUUGGACUACAGGUGUCUUAGAUAGGCCAAGGUGUCUGGGAAUUGCAUGUAAUGUCAUUAGAGGAAUAUCCCAAACGAACUUGAAUAUGGAAACAUGAUAUAAUUCAAUUGAGCUUUUGUCUUUUAUGAAGUGGUUCUAGGGAGUACCGCAGAGUGAAUAAAAGAGUUAUUCAAAAUAAACUUUCUAGGAAAAUAA